UUAAUUGAAGAGUUUGAUCAUGGCUCAGAUUGAACGCUGGCGGCAGGCCUAACACAUGCAAGUCGAGCGGAAACGACAACAUUGACCCUUCGGGUGAUUUAUUGGGCGUCGAGCGGCGGACGGGUGAGUAAUGCCUGGGAAAUUGCCCUGAUGUGGGGGAUAACUAUUGGAAACGAUAGCUAAUACCGCAUAAYGUCUACGGACCAAAGAGGGGGACCUUCGGGCCUCUCGCUUCAGGAUAUGCCCAGGUGGGAUUAGCUAGUUGGUGAGGUAAUGGCUCACCAAGGCGACGAUCCCUAGCUGGUCUGAGAGGAUGAUCAGCCACACUGGAACUGAGACACGGUCCAGACUCCUACGGGAGGCAGCAGUGGGGAAUAUUGCACAAUGGGCGCAAGCCUGAUGCAGCCAUGCCGCGUGUAUGAAGAAGGCCUUCGGGUUGUAAAGUACUUUCAGUCGUGAGGAAGAUAGUGUAGUUAAUAGCUGCAUUGUUUG
rnacentral:rRNA from 1 species